GAAAUAUGAAAGGAAAAAAAUAUCUUACAACAUUUUAGUCCAAGGUAUAGAGGGAAUGCUGAACUGAUAGGUUUUGCAUACUGUAUCCUAUUAUUAAUGAGGAUAAUUUUCUGUAGAGAAAAGGACUUUAAGUUAAAAUUUCAUAUUUUCAUUCAUCCUCUUCUCACACCAAAAUUACGUGUACACAUGCUGUAAUAAUCUGUAACUGAUAUGGGAUAUACAGGUAGCUGGUUUAGGAUCUGCUGAGCCAGAAGUAUCUGUAAGCUACUAUUCCCUGACCCAUGGGUAAUUCUGUUCUCCUACUUGUCAGUUAAAAAAACACCUCUACCAGAAUACAUUUGCUUAGUCUGGGACCUGGGGUAGACUCCACAGAAAUACAGAUGGUGCGUUCCACAAAGAAUUCAUGGGGACACAAUAACAUUCCCACGUGGCUUCCUGUCUGUAGAGACGAUUCUGCCCCCACUCUCAUAAAAGGAGGUGCUGGGAGGUGCUCUCUCUCUCUCUCUCUCUUCCACGGCAGACCACAACUGGAGGAAGUACCAGCGUGCUUUAUCUGUUUCUCAUCCCCUGCUGCUUUCUUCUUCUGGACCCACAGCCUUCUCCAUCUUUUCUGGGAAGAGUACAUGUGAAGUAUCAAUAAUCAGACUAACAGCAAAGGAGAGCUGAUCUGUAAGUGGAAUGACUGAAGGAUGGAGGAAGAGUGUUUACUAAAUCUGGAGAUUAGGAAAAGUGACAAACACUACUCUCCCCCACACAUCGAAAUAUAAAACAGACAUGCAUGUUGGAAACUUGUUAGGUGAAAGGGAAGAAUUUUCAAGGCUAAAAAGAAAUUUGGUAGAUGAUGGAGACAGAUGUUUUCCAUUCUACCUAUUAGGAUUGAAGUUAUGGUUGAUGGGAAUUUGUUGAGGAUAUUUUCAAGCUUUCAAGCCACUUUAUGGUGGUGUGGAAGUGGGUAAAGGGAAGGCAGGAAGAUUGUGUGUGCCUGCAAAUACAUUAUAGAAGGCCAAAGUAAUUGACUUUCUAUAGCCUAUUGGCAAGAAACUCAGCAAAAGACUAUAGAUUUUCUUCUUAUUUGUUACCAUUGAGAGAAAAGGUGGUGACACUAGAAUUGCUCUGCAGAAAUGGAGGGGUUAUAGGUCAGGAAAAGCAACAUUAUGCUGUAAUAAUGACAACAUUUUAUUGGCUUCAAACAACAAAGCUCUUUUUCUUGUUUAAUCUAUGCUAUCUACUUAUUUUGAUCAUAGUAUUCAUUCAUGCAGCACUUACUAUCCCAAACAUUAAGACGAGGGGUGAGUGUGUGUGUGUGUGGUACAGUGGUUAAAUGGCCACUUGAGACAUCUGCAUCUUAUAUCAGAGUCUCUGGUUCAUGUCCCAACUAUUCCACUUCUGAUAGAACUUCCUGCUAAUGUACACCCUGAGAGGCAGCAGUUGAUGACCCAAGUACUUGAGUCCCUGCCAUCCAUGUGGGAGUCUCAGGCUCCUGGCUUGGGUCUGGCCCAACCUUUGCUGUUGUAGGCAUUUGGGAAGUAAACCAGCAGAUAGAAGAUUGAUCUAUCUAUUUCUCUUAAUGAAAACUAAUUAAUUAAUUAAUUAAAAGGUGAGAGAAAAGAGAAUUCUGAAGGUUCUCAUAUUGGGUAUUACAUGAUUGCUCUAGAAAUAACGCACCCCUCUGCUUGCAACUUACUGUUCAAAACCAAUCACCUAGCCCCUCUUAGCCAAAAUGAGAACAGAACACAAGAGGUUCAGUAGGUGAACAACGCUAAUAACUACCUCAAGAGGGCAUCCUCAUACUCUCAAGAACCUAAGCAAGUUUAGUGGAGUCUCAUAGUCAGUCAACGGAAAACUAAUUCACACUGUUGCUUCUGUUUGUAUGUGUGCGAAUAAAGCAGAAUGACAUAUAACA
rnacentral:lncRNA from 1 species